UUUUAAAAUAUAAAUUAUUAAUAAGAAUAAUUUUUUAUGUAAAUUAUUAAUUAAAAUAUAUAAAACUAAAUGAGUUUGGAUAGUAUUCGGAUAAUUAUAAUUUUGUUUGGAAUGGAUAUCAGUAGUUCAGAAUGAAUUUUAAUCGGGUUCAAAACUGAUUCGAGUAUUGAAAUUAUUAAUUGGGUUCAGAUUCGGUUAUGAUGCUUUUCACAGGUAUCUUACUUCUUGCCAUUCCUAGUUACUAUUUGCAUCUCCCUACUUCAUUCUUAAUAUUGUCACAGUUCUUUUCUGAAGUUUUAGUAUCAAACUUAUUGGGGAGACUCGGAAUGGGAAGAAAGCUGUAGGCAUGAAAUUACUUAUACUGUGCCUUCAGUUUGCAUAAUUUGGAGGUUGAAACUUUUCAUUAUUCCCAACUGCCCAUUUAGGCAUUUACAUAAACUUUUUUUCAUUGGUGCUUACCAUAUGGUUCCAUGAGAGCAUAUUUUGACUAUGCAUUUGUAUUAAUUGGUUUCUGCAGGAGCAGUCAGAAAAGACUGUAGAAGGAGGUGUCAAUCCUUGUUCCACAUUGUUUAUUGCAAAUCUAGGGCCAAAUUGCACUGAAGAUGAACUGAAGCAAAGUCUUUCACAAUAUCCAGGAUUCAAUGUGCUCAAAAUGCGUGCUAAAGGUGGAAUGCCAGUUGCAUUUGCUGAUUUUGAGGAAGUUGAACAAGCAAAGAAAGUCAUGGAGGACCUUCAAGGAACCUUGUUACCAUCAUCGGACCGAGGUGGCAUGCACAUAGAGUAAUUAUUCUCAACUCUCUUUAUUCUCUUUCAACAUGGUUAUAUAUCAUCACGACAGUAAGUGGCAUUAUCUCAUUGGUGCUCCCCAGAUAUGCGAGGUCCAAAAUGAGGAAGUCCUAGCAGAGGGGAAUGUGACAACGAUUUUCUGUCCUGCCUGCAGGCUUUGGUUCUUUCUUAUACUUAGCGCAACAAUGUUUAGUAGUAUUGCUUCAGUUUUCUUUAAAGGAUGAACCAAAAUACCCAGUAUUUUCGAGCCACUGUAAAACUGAUAAUGCUUUCUUGCUGUCAUAAUCCUCCUUGAUUUUUCAGAGGGCUUGUAUACAUCAAUGCCUGAGAGAGCUGUGGCCUCUACAUUUUGUGGAUGUGUAUUUUUGGCAAGAAUAUCAUCAUAAAUGGUAGAGCUUGAUCCUUCAAAUUCAACUUGAAAGAAUGACUCCAUUCCAUACUAGUAAAUAGGAGCUUUAAAACAAUGAUUUUUUUCUUAGCAGAAAGAUUGGAGGAGUGCGAACUCGAAUCUAGAUAUGUUUGGAGAAUUAUGUCUUUAGUCACUAACUUAAGUCAGGCUAGCAAGAGCUUCAAACAAUGAUAUUUUUUCAUAGGUACAACCAUUUGUUUAGAAAUUAUAAUAAUAAAUUAUUAUUUAGUUGGUGGUUGAUCAAAUUAAAAUUAUAGUAACAACUUAU
rnacentral:misc_RNA from 1 species